UUUUUUAUCCUUUUCAUUAUUAUUAUUUUUUUAUUUUGUUCUUGGGAGUUUGAUUUAUUUAUUUUUGGUUUUCAAUUUUGGUCUUUAUUUUUUUAUUACUCUUUUUUUUUAUCCUUUUCUUCAUUUAUUUUGUUUUUCAAUUUAGUCCCUUAUUAGUUUCUUUCAAUUAUUUAUGUGCAUUGUUUAGUCCUCAUUGUUUUAAUUUUAGUUAUUUAAAAUUUAAUUUUUGUAUGGUUUUAAAUUUUUCUUUAUGGUUUUUUCAUGUUUGCCUUUUACAUGGUAAUCCUAGUCUCAUAACAUAGUCCACCAGUUUCGACGAUAAAC
rnacentral:lncRNA from 1 species